CCUACGGGAGGCAGCAGUGGGGAAUAUUGCACAAUGGGCGAAAGCCUGAUGCAGCAACGCCGCGUGAAGGAAGACGGUUUUCGGAUGGUAAACUUCUGUUCUUAGGGAAGAAUAAUGACGGUAACUACGGAGCAAGCCACGCCUAACUAGGUGCCAGCAGCUGCGGUAAUACGUGGGGGGGAAGCGUUGUCCGGAAUUACGGGGUGUAAGGGGAGCGUAGGCGGUAAGCAAAGCAAGCUGUGAAAACUACGGGCUUAACCGUUUGACUGCAGUUGAAACUGGCUUUCUUGAGUGCAGUAGAGGUAGGCGGAAUUCCGAGUGUAGCGGUGAAAUGCGUAGAUAUUAGGAGGAACACCGGUUGCGAAGGCGGCCCACUGGGCUUCAACUGACGCUGAGGCUCGAAAGUGUGGGGAGCAAACAGGAUUAGAUACCCUUGUAGUC
rnacentral:rRNA from 1 species